GUCAGGGCAGGGGCUCCAGACAGGAACCUGAAGGCAAGAGAAUAUUUUGAGAGCAUGGAGAAAUUCUCCCAAUGGUGAUGGAGGUGGGUCUUGUAAUAAUAAAGAAACUGCCUCGGCCCUCAUAGGACAGAAAAUUAGGUAGGCGGAGUAGACAGAAGAGAAUGCUGGGAGAAAGAAGCUUAGGAGGAGUCGCCAUGAUGCUCCCACUCCAGACAGACGCAGGUUAAGAUCCUCUCUGGUAAGCCAACUCAUGGGCUACACAGAAUAUUAGAAAUGGGUUAGAACAAUAUGUAAGAGCCAAUAAGAAACUGGACCUAGCCGGGCCAGGCAGUGUUUGAAAGAA